AUGGAAGUUUUAGCGUGGUUUAAAUUUUAAUUUAAAUAGUUAAAGUUUCUGUGAUUUUCAGUGAGUGAUUUUAUAAAUUAAGGUAACUUAGAUAUAGCAAAUAUAAAAGUAUUGGCGAAAUUUGUGCCAGCAGCCGCGGUUAUACAUAUGAUACAGUUAAAUCGUUUUUAGUUGGAGUUAAAUGGUUAAUAUUAGAGUUGUAAUGAAUUUAUUAGGUGAAAUUUUAAAAUUUAUUUUAUUUAUAAUUAAGUUAUUGAAGCUUUAAAAUUUUUUAUUAAACUAGGAUUAGAUACCCUAUUAUUAAAAAUGUAUUUAAAUAGGCUUAAGUAGUAGUAGUUAUGUUCUUGAAACUUAAAAAAUUUGGCGGUAUUUUAGUCUAUUCAGAGGAGCUUGUCCUGUAAUCGAUAAUCCACGUUGAACCUUACUUAAUUUUUAUAGUUUAUAUACCGUCGUUAUAAAGAAUUUUCUUUUAGGAUAAUAAUUUUCUAGAUUUUUAAUAAAUUAUAUCAGAUCAAGGUGUAGCUUAUGGUUGAGUAGAGAUGAGCUACAAUAAAUGUAUUUAUAUGAAUUUAAAUUUGAAAUGUUUAAUGAAGGUGGAUUUGAUAGUAAAGUUAUAUAGAUUAAUAAUUUGAUUAUAGCUCUAAAAUAUGCACAUAUCGCCCGUCGCUCUUAUUAUUAAGGUAAGAUAAGUCGUAACAUAGUAGAUGUA
rnacentral:rRNA from 1 species